CGGCAGUUGAGGGCAGCUCGUGCUAGCGUGACAUCUUCAGCUCCGGCAGUCCACAGAGCACACACCAGGGAGACGCAACACCCACUUCAUUCAGGUGGAUCUGAUUUGCAGCACAGAGAAGCUGAGACCAUGCCUGAUGAGACCACCGCGAUGAUUCGAGUGAGACAGAGACAACUCAACGGCGACUUAUAGCGCGCCCUGUGCCUGGGAUGGUACCUCCUCUGCUACCCCCUACGCUGCAUUCCGUGCUACGCCCGGCUCAAAGGCCUAUGCUAUGCCAAGCUCCCAGGAUGGCAUCGCCAUCACUAAACCCUGGAGCCUGACCUGUGCUGCCUCUCAGCCUACGGCUGGACCCACGCCCCUUUUCCAGGUCCUGAGGAUCCAGUUCUAUACAGUGAUUAUCGAGGCCAUCCUUAUCUCAUCAGUAAUGAUCUAGUUUGGAUGGUUUACCUCACAUGACUGAGUGAGCCAAACUCCAAUACAUAAUAAGGACAGCAGAGAGGAUCGACUAAUGUAGCCUUCCAGUUCUUGAAGACAGUAACAAAAGUAGGAUCAUGAAAUGCGCUGGUGAGCUUAUAGCUGACCCCUCUAACCCUGGACACCAUCUCUUCCAGCGCCUUGCCUCAGCCAGAAGGGAACUGCAUUAACAUCAGUAAAUACAGAGCAAUCGAAACUGGACCUCCCAAACCCCCAGUCCUGUGGCCCAAACUGUGGCUAUACCUCUGCUACACAAUAAUGUAUAAUAGGAGCAGUAACAGGAGAAAUCCUACAACAGUGCUACUUUUAAAGUCACUCAGCUCUUCCAUACGACCCAUUCCGCUCACAGUGUCUCAUAGAGAUCGCAAUGUCAUGUGACUUAAUACACAUGUGGGCAAUAGAUUUGGCUGAAACACCUUAUAAUGUACAUAUGAAUUAUCUUUCACUGUUGCUUUGGUUUAAUUUUAUAUUAAGUUUUCAUUUGUUUUUUGUUUUUCUUGCCAACUUCUCAACUUCCUCAUUCGUUCUUUCAUUUUACCCACAGCACUUUCAAUACUGUGGCAUCAGCCACUAUAUUUAGUGAGUGGCGAAAUCAGAAGGAUGGUGAGGACUCCCAGAAUGCUGUGUACCUUCCCACAGAACUUUAGUUAGUUCAGUGUUCUAAAGAGCUGUUUAUGGUUGGCAUGUGUGCAUGUCUUAGUUUAGCCUAGUUGUGUAUUUUUAGUUUAACAAAUGUAGGAAUGUGUUACUGUCUGUGGUGAAUGUCUUAUAUUUAUCCACCACUAUUUCCCACAGUAGUGCAGUUCCUGAUUGGCUGUGUACAAUCUGUGGAGAAGAUUGUGUAGUUACA